UGGGGAAUAUUGCACAAUGGGCGCAAGCCUGAUGCAGUAACGCCGCGUGAGGGACGACGGCCUUCGGGUUGUAAACCUCUUUUAGUAGGGAAGAAGCGAAAGUGACGGUACCUGCAGAAAAAGCACCGGCUAACUACGUGCCAGCAGCCGCGGUAAUACGUAGGGUGCGAGCGUUGUCCGGAAUUAUUGGGCGUAAAGAGCUCGUAGGCGGUCUGUCGCGUCUGCUGUGAAAACCCGAGGCUCAACCUCGGGCCUGCAGUGGGUACGGGCAGACUAGAGUGCGGUAGGGGAGAAUGGAAUUCCUGGUGUAGCGGUGGAAUGCGCAGAUAUCAGGAGGAACACCGAUGGCGAAGGCAGUUCUCUGGGCCGUAACUGACGCUGAGGAGCGAAAGCGUGGGGAGCGAACAGGAUUAGAUACCCUGGUAGUCCACGCCGUAAACGUUGGGCGCUAGAUGUGGGGCACCAUUCCACGGUUUCCGUGUCGCAGCUAACGCAUUAAGCG
rnacentral:rRNA from 1 species